AAUGAUUAGAAUCACCUCUCACAGGUAGGCUGGCAUGAUGGAGAGGAUUUCAUGUGAGAGAGAGAUGACAGAACCGUCAUUAUCAAUGGCCCUCAAGAGAUCUAAACCAAAUAAAGCAUAAAAGCAGUGGCCAACGCUGUCCUGGACUGGACAGAUAAGCUUCACUAUAAACCUGCAGAGGGGCUGUCCUUGCUUUGUUGGUUGCUAAGUGCAGAGCAUUCCAGUUGCUUCCAGCAGCGGUAAGUGAUCCCAUCUGUCCCCAGCUAAAUAGUUAUUGCUUUUAUCUUCCCCUCAUUCCUUUCUGCUGGGCUCAGAAGAAGGGAGAGGGAGGCAACGAAUGAUUAACACCACUUAUCUCAGCGCUCUGCCUCUGUCUUGGUUAACCGUCAGCUUCUUUUAGACUAGCUUCCAGGUAAAACACUGCUGAACAGACAGAGAACCAUAAAGUUAUUUGAGUCUCUGAAAACCAUGAAAAAUAUUUUUAAUCAUUUUGGUUAGUACCAAUGAUGUCAGCAAAGCAUUUGAUGUUUCCAAUGAUAUAAAUUCAGAUAAGAUGGAAUCAAAGAGUCUCAGAAUUAGAAGAGAGACUUUCCAAUGGGUGCCAUUUGCAUAAACAAGGGUAUUCAGAUUUUUCUUUUGAAGGAAUUUUCAAAAUCUUUCAUGUGCUAACAUACUGUAAAUCUCUAAGAGAGAGAAUGUAGCAAUAUUUCACAAACUUAUAGCAUUAAUCCUUUUUUCCCUUCCACGGGUCUAAUAUUCCUUAGAACCCAUUUUGUGAAUUCUUAGAAUCCCUUAGAAUUCCAUGUUCCUUAGAACCUGCAGAGGAUUCAGGAAGCCUGUGCAUAAGUAUCUCCCACAGAGAUUCUUCUGUGUUUGAGUGUCGUCACUGUUUAAGCACAAAGUGAUGGGGGAUUUCAUAUCUUAUAGGACAAUUCAUUCAAUUUAAAGUCAGCAUGGAUUUUUGUAUUGGAGGUGACCUUAAAGACCCCAUAAUGCGAUGUGCACAGAGAACCUAUUAUCCAAAGGAUUGGGCUAUGGACUAAUAUCUUGAGAAUUCACAGAUUUUGGAAAGGCAGCUGUUACUGAAAGCAAAUUGCAUCUCUCAAGCUCUUAAUAAAAUUUUGUGCAAUCCCA
rnacentral:lncRNA from 1 species